CUGCGGCAGCGACACUCAGGUGUUGUUGGGUAGGGGAGCGUUCUGUAAGCCUGUGAAGGUGGCCUGUGAGGGUUGCUGGAGGUAUCAGAAGUGCGAAUGCUGACAUAAGUAACGAUAAAGCGGGUGAAAAGCCCGCUCGCCGGAAGACCAAGGGUUCCUGUCCAACGUUAAUCGGGGCAGGGUGAGUCGACCCCUAAGGCGAGGCCGAAAGGCGUAGUCGAUGGGAAACGGGUUAAUAUUCCCGUACUUGGUGUUACUGCGAAGGGGGGACGGAGAAGGCUAUGUUGGCCGGGCGACGGUUGUCCCGGUUUAAGCGUGUAGGUGUGUGUUCCAGGUAAAUCCGGUUCACUUUAACACUGAGGCGUGAUGACGAGGCGCUACGGUGCUGAAGCAACAAAUGCCCUGCUUCCAGGAAAAGCCUCUAAGCAUCAGGUAACAUCAAAUCGUACCCCAAACCGACACAGGUGGUCAGGUAGAGAAUACCAAGGCGCUUGAGAGAACUCGGGUGAAGGAACUAGGCAAAAUGGUGCCGUAACUUCGGGAGAAGGCACGCUGACACGUAGGUGAAGUGAUUUACUCAUGGAGCUGAAGUCAGUCGAAGAUACCAGCUGGCUGCAACUGUUUAUUAAAAACACAGCACUGUGCAAACACGAAAGUGGACGUAUACGGUGUGACGCCUGCCCGGUGCCGGAAGGUUAAUUGAUGGGGUCAGCGCAAGCGAAGCUCCUGAUCGAAGCCCCGGUAAACGGCGGCCGUAACUAUAACGGUCCUAAGGUAGCGAAAUUCCUUGUCGGGUAAGUUCCGACCUGCACGAAUGGCGUAAUGAUGGCCAGGCUGUCUCCACCCGAGACUCAGUGAAAUUGAACUCGCUGUGAAGAUGCAGUGUACCCGCGGCAAGACGGAAAGACCCCGUGAACCUUUACUAUAGCUUGACACUGAACAUUGAGCCUUGAUGUGUAGGAUAGGUGGGAGGCUUUGAAGUGUGGACGCCAGUCUGCAUGGAGCCGACCUUGAAAUACCACCCUUUAAUGUUUGAUGUUCUAACGUGGACCCGUGAUCCGGGUUGCGGACAGUGUCUGGUGGGUAGUUUGACUGGGGCGGUCUCCUCCUAAAGAGUAACGGAGGAGCACGAAGGUUGGCUAAUCCUGGUCGGACAUCAGGAGGUUAGUGCAAUGGCAUAAGCCAGCUUGACUGCGAGCGUGACGGCGCGAGCAGGUGCGAAAGCAGGUCAUAGUGAUCCGGUGGUUCUGAAUGGAAGGGCCAUCGCUCAACGGAUAAAAGGUACUCCGGGGAUAACAGGCUGAUACCGCCCAAGAGUUCAUAUCGACGGCGGUGUUUGGCACCUCGAUGUCGGCUCAUCACAUCCUGGGGCUGAAGUAGGUCCCAAGGGUAUGGCUGUUCGCCAUUUAAAGUGGUACGCGAGCUGGGUUUAGAACGUCGUGAGACAGUUCGGUCCCUAUCUGCCGUGGGCGCUGGAGAACUGAGGGGGGCUGCUCCUAGUACGAGAGGACCGGAGUGGACGCAUCACUGGUGUUCGGGUUGUCAUGCCAAUGGCACUGCCCGGUAGCUAAAUGCGGAAGAGAUAAGUGCUGAAAGCAUCUAAGCACGAAACUUGCCCCGAGAUGAGUUCUCCCUGAGACUUUAGGUCUCCUGAAGGAACGUUGAAGACGACGACGUUGAUAGGCCGGGUGUGUAAGCGCAGCGAUGCGUUGAGCUAACCGGUACUAAUGAACCGUGAGGCUUAACCUUACA
rnacentral:rRNA from 1 species